rnacentral:rRNA from 1 species
UACGAAGGGGGCUAGCGUUGUUCGGAAUUACUGGGCGUAAAGGGCGCGUAGGCGGCGUGUCAAGUCAGGCGUGAAAGCCCCGGGCUCAACCUGGGAACCGCGCUUGAGACUGGCAUGCUCGAGUUCGGGAGAGGAUGGUGGAAUUCCCAGUGUAGAGGUGAAAUUCGUAGAUAUUGGGAAGAACACCGAUGGCGAAGGCAGCCAUCUGGACCGACACUGACGCUGAGGCGCGAAAGCGUGGGGGAGCGAACAGG